rnacentral:tRNA from 1 species
CCUCCUUUCUAAGGAUGAGUGAAAGUAAAAUUUCACUCUAAAUAAUAUACAUCGGUAAUGUUGACCGUCCUCAUUUCUCUUCUUAAAGUAAUGUUUCCUUCUUGUAGGGCCGGUAGCUCAGUUGGUUAGAGCACACCCUUGAUAAGGGUGGGGUCGAAAGUUCGAGUCUUUCUCGGCCCACCAAAAACCUAAAUGGGGGAUUAGCUCAUCUGGGAGAGCGCCUGAUUUGCAUUCAGGAGGUAGCAGGUUCGAUCCCUGUAUCCUCCACCAGGAAACAUUUAGUUAUUAAAACUGUAAAUAAAAAUAAUUUAUAUCAAUAUCUAUAUCCGAACAUUAAAAGUUAUUAUUUAAUGUUCAAAAUAAAAAUUUGAUCACAACAUAGAUNAAUUUUCUGUUAAAAGAAUUUUUUCUGUGCAUAAAUCAAGCGUUUAAGGGCGUGUAGU